rnacentral:rRNA from 1 species
UACGUAGGGGGCUAGCGUUGUCCGGAAUCAUUGGGCGUAAAGCGCGCGUAGGCGGCCCGGUAAGUCCGCUGUGAAAGUCAAAGGCUCAACCUUUGAAUGUCAGCGGAUACUGCCGGGCUAGAGUCCGGAAGAGGCGAGUGGAACUCCUGGUGUAGCGGUGGAAUGCGCAGAUAUCUGGAGGAAUACCGGUGGCGAAGGCGGCAUCCUGGACCGGCAUUGACGCUGAUGAGCGAAAGCUAGGGGAGCAAACGGG